rnacentral:lncRNA from 1 species
AGGACAUGGCAGUCAUGGGUCUUUAGAUUUAUGAAUUUCUUCUGUUUCACAUUUAUUAAUACCUUUAUAUUUGAGGAGUAGCCCGAUGAGACCUUGAUACUAUUCAAGCACUCGAACAUGCUUUCCUUCUCUUCCUUGCUAAGAGUGUAACUGGCAGGAUGCAAGUAAUGCCCAUUAUCUCUCUUUUCCGAAUGUAGGGCAUCUCGUUGAUUCAUAUGUUUCAGGUCCCGACAUGCUUCAAGUGUAUCCUUUAUCUUUCC